rnacentral:rRNA from 1 species
UUUCCCGUAAGGCGCCGAAUUGAGUCAUUAAAAAAUUAACAUCAUCCGAUCCCUAGUCGGCAUAGUUUAUGGUUAAGACUACGACGGUAUCUGAUCGUCUUCGAUCCCCUAACUUUCGUUCUUGAUUAAUGAAAACAUCCUUGGCAAAUGCUUUCGCAGUAGUUAGUCUUCAAUAAAUCCAAGAAUUUCACCUCUGACAAUUGAAUACUAAUGCCCCCAACUAUCCCUAUUAAUCAUUACGUCAAUCCUAGAAACCAACAAAAUAGGAUCAAACGUCCUAUUUCAUUAUCCCAUGCUAAUGUAUUCAAGCGUUAGCUUGCUUUAAACACUCUAAUUUUUUCAAAGUAACAGUCCUGUGUCCCUGCAACACCAAAUUAAUGGCAUUACAGUUCUUCAGAAAGGAGAGACCAGCGAAGCCAGUUCAUACCAUAGGCACGACCAACCUGCUGACCCCGAAAUUCAACUACGAGGCUUUUUAACUGCAACAACUUUAAUAUACGCUAUUGGAGCUGGAAUUACCGCGGCUGCUGGCACCAGACUUGCCCUCCCAA